rnacentral:sRNA from 1 species
UAGCUGGUUAACAUGGCAAAACACAGCCGCAAACCAAAAUUUGAUAAAUUCAAUAGAAAACGUCUUGCAGAGGCACAAAAGCAAUCCAAUGGCACUCUAUGAUGUCCUUCAUCGGUAAGGGCUGCCACCUCGGUGCACAACACACUGCUACAACAAAAACAACAAUACCUGAGGUGUAAGAAAUGGAUCGAUUGGUAGAUAUUUCCAAACCAGGGAAACAUGCCGGACAAGGAGAGUCAUACAGAAAGAUCUCUCCUAACAGGGUUAAAUUCAUCCCUUUUUCCAGCAGGCCAUCAACAUGCAUUAAGGAAAAUGCACAGCACGACAACGGCACUUAUCGCCAUCACCACACAUAUCAGUGGCGUAGUGAAUGAAAAAUUGUCUUGUGAACGAGCGUUCCCUUGGCCCUGAAUAUUGCAAAGGUAGACAUGUGAGGUCGCACACUGUGGUUUAAGAAACAUAAGUCGAAGCUCAAUAGAUUUAAACAGGAAUAGAUGGAUAUGUGUGGUCGCAUACGGUUUACCUUCUGUCUUAACUAAACUUCCUCCCCCAUCGACUGGCCUGGAAAUAAUAUCAUACACGGAUGGGUGAUCUGUCCUAGAGCGGGGAAUAACAUCAAUAUGCUGUGUGAACAAAUUAACAUUUAUCUUUAAAGCAGGGUAUUCUGUUCAGCUUUCGGAAUAGUUGAAAUACUUUGA